rnacentral:SRP_RNA from 1 species
GGAGGCUGGUUGUGGACGGAACGUUCGCGAACCCGGUCAGGUCCGGAAGGAAGCAGCCGUAACGAGCCGUUUCCGGGUCACGUUUCCAGUCUCCCAA